rnacentral:rRNA from 1 species
AUGGAGGAGGAGCAGAGGAAGCGGGACUAUGAACGCCUUCAAGGCCUAGAAGCAAGUCAAGCGGAAUUGGUAGUCAAAUUCCAGCGGCAGCAAGAGCAGAUCGACUCACUUACCCAGCAAAGGGGGUCUCAGCAGCUGCAGCAGCUAGUGAAUGAUCCAGCAUUGGAUAGCACCGCCCCAUCCAUGCCGAGAAGCAGCGUGGGUUCCGCCCCGGACGACGCAAUGCUGGGUAGAUACCCCGUGGAUGACAUCACGGAGAACACUAGCUGCGAGCUACACAACAAAAUGAAGAACAUAUCCAUGAAGGUGGCGGACACCGUUGCUUUUACAAAUCCCCCCGAGGCAACCUUCUAUUGCAACCCGAUUCCAGUGGGCUAUGCUUGUGUCUUGGUUGAUGAGGUGGUGGACCCUUAUUCGGAGCUAGAGCUUGACUAUCCUGGAGGUGACGACGAGCGCUUUCUCGGAGACGCCAAACAUCGUAUCAUCCUAUGGAAAAAGGAUUGCAUCAUCAUUCGAAGGCCACCAACACCGCGUCAGCCGACUCCUCGUCGAAGUCCGCCACUGAGUCAGCAGUCUCCCGCUCCUGCAAGUCCGCCAAGUCCGGCAAAGUGUCAGGCCACUCCUCCUCCAAGUCCGGCAAAGUGUCAGGCCACUCCUCCUCCUCCAAGUCCGCCACAGCGUCAGACAUCCACUCCUCCUCCAAGUCAGGCACAACCUCAGGCCACUCCUCCUCCAAGUCCGGCACAGCUUCAGGCGGCCACUCCUCCUCGUCCAACUCAGCCCCGUCAGCCGUCUCCGCCGCCUCAGCAAUCACAGAAGAGACACCCCGCAGCUAUGGUGCGUAGCGGUACGAGUCGAGGUAGUACAAGAAGUACAGGAGGAGGCAAGCGAUAUAAAUAUGGUCCAAGCCUCAUGCCUCUUCCGCAGAGGGCUUAUGACAGGUCCGAGGAGGAAAUCGCAGACAUAUCAAAGUCCGAGGUGGAAGCCCAUUUUGCACCGAAACCGCCACCGCCGCCAAGGGAGAAAGUGCCUGAGGAAACGAUUGACCACUUCAUUCGUAUGGCUCAACCACCAGCUCCCGAGCCUGUUGACACAGACUAUGAGCGCCACAUCAGGAAGUUAAAUCGAGCACGUGUACUUAAGGAGGCGAGCUCGGGAUUGAGCAAACAAGAAGCAGCUGUCAAAAAAUGCGGGAAAACCAUUCCCCAACUGGGAGAACAGGCGGCGCAAUCGAUCCCCUCGCUUGUUGUGCCAACAACACGUGACAGUACGCGCGCCCAAUAUUAUUGUGGGCAAACAUUUUACGUUCCUGAGGUGGGCAAUGUGGUAAUAACGGAGGACCAUAUAAUGCAGGCUGAAGUUCUCAAAAUCACUGUUGGACAACUCCUCGAGAUCGAGCCCAUGCCUGUGCUUAGAGAGGAUGAAAUAAAACGGAAAUAUGUCCGGGGCCAACCUUUGGUCGAGCCAGACAAGGUCAAGAACCUCCCAACGAGAAUGUAUGAAUUGCAUCAAUGGUACAUGAACAUUACCAAGAUUUCCGAUCGAGUGUCCCUCAUGGUGAAUGUCAAGGAGGAUCAUUACUACCAUGAGAAAGCUCUGUCCGUUGAGUAUUCUGAACCGUUUCAGUUAUACAAUCAAGACGCACUCGACAAAUCUAUCGUCAGUUGCUAUUGUCUGAUGAAGAUGUAUGAAAUGAGAAAAGGUGGACGCUAUGGCAUUGGGUUCAUUGACCCAAACACCGUUAAUGAAUACACAUGGAAAAUAGAUGAGUAUCAUCAAAAGGCCGUAGAGGACAGCAUGCUAGAGUUCUUGAAGCGCCUCAAAUACAAUGAAGAUAUACUACUUCCUUACAACUUCCAAUUUCACUGGGUCUUGUGUAUCAUUAAAGUUGACGCCGGAACAGUUGAAAUACUGGACUCACUACUCAAAGAAAAAACUGACUAUAACAUCUUGUUUGGGAUAGUCAACAGGGCUUGGGCAAGGUUCAUCAGGGUUACGGACGGCGAAUGGAAAGAAAAGCUUAAAUGGGGAAGACCCAAGGCCCUGAAGCAGGCGCAGGGGACUGAUCUGUGUGCAUUCUGCGUUUGCGAGAACAUUCGCAUGAUGGCGUCCGAAAGGAGCAGAUCUCAAAGACAGGAAUGGUUCAGAGAGGUGCGGGCGAAGCUCCUAGAAACGGAGCGCGUAGAAGCACUUCAAGAGGAAAUAGCGGGAUUUUUGCUCGACCAGGUCAUAAAUCCGAAGGGAGAAUACUAUUACCCGCUACCGCUCGAAUGA